AAUUCUUCACUCCUUGUAUCACCCUUGAACGACCGGAACUUAUCCCACCAAUGCUUACCCCUAUCUUUCCUGAUUGCGCUAUCUUUCCGGUGCAGUGUGUUGUCAAGGAAAUAUGCCACAGUCCCCGCAACAAAUGCUUCUGAUGAGAAAGGAACAUUUACGAUAUCGUUGAACCAUCUUGCUCCAGUGUGAACAGGACCAUAGCCUUUAAUUGCAGUAUAUUCGUUGAAGUAUUG
rnacentral:misc_RNA from 1 species